rnacentral:rRNA from 1 species
UGGGGAAUCUUGCACAAUGGGGGCAACCCUGAUGCAGCGACGCCGCGUGAGCGAUGAAGCCCUUCGGGGCGUAAAGCUCUUUCGACCGGAACGAUAAUGACGGUACCGGGAGAAGAAGCUGCGGCUAACUACGUGCCAGCAGCCGCGGUAAUACGUAGGCAGCAAGCGUUGUUCGGAGUUACUGGGCGUAAAGAGUGCGUAGGCGGUUUUCUAAGUUCGGUGUGAAAUCUCCCGGCUUAACUGGGAGGGUGCGCCGAAGACUGGGAAGCUGGAGUGUGGGAAAGGCAGGCGGAAUUCCUGGUGUAGCGGUGAAAUGCGUAGAUAUCAGGAGGAACACCGGCGGUGUAGACGGCUUGCUAGACCAUUACUGACGCUGAGGCACGAAAGCGUGGGUAGCAAACA